AAACAGCAUAAAUUAUAAGAGCCUUAUAACCCAGCUGCUCUAAGAACGGAAGAAGGCUGUGCUUUUCCCCCAACAUUUGUGCACUACACACCCCCUAAUUCCCUUAACAAAAAACUGUGUGCCUUGCCCAAAUUUUAGGCUUAAAGGUAACUGACUUAAACAUGAUAUAUUCAAUGUUAUGUGUAGUUGAAGUCUUUGUUGAAGUUGAUUUUGACUAUCCCACUCCAUAAAGCACAAUUUCCAGAUAAAGGGUUUAUAGAAUAUUGUUAGUUUUCAUUUUUAUAUUUAUUAAUACAAUUGAACAUCCAUCUCACUGCAUUAUUAAGCAAAUCUACAUCUUUUUUAAUCACUGUACUCUGAGAACUUUGCCAAAGAUUUGUUUCUUUCUUUUUGUCUUUUUAGGGCUGCACCUGCAGCAUAUGGAAGGCUAGGAGUCGAAUUGGAGCUGUAGCUGCCAGCCUACACCACAACCACAGCAAUGCUAGAUUCGAGCUGCAUCUUCAUCUUACACUGCAGCUCACACCAAUGCCAGAUCCUUCACCCACCGAGUGAGGCCAGGGAUCAAACCUGCAUCCUUAUGGAUACUAGUAGGGUUUGUUACUGCUAAGCCACAAAGGGGACCCAAUAAAUGUCUUUCUGAAGGCAAGAUGCACAAUGUUUGACUCUACUUAUCUCUUCUAUCAAAUAGAUGAUGAUGUUGGUUUGGCAUGACUAUCUUUUGGGGAGUUCUAAUUUAUUUCAAGGGAUGUCUUCUAUUUUCCUAUUGUUCACAACCAUCUGUUUAACAACCUUUUCUAAAGAGAACCUUUCUACUCUGUUGGUGAGAAUGUAAAAUGGUACAGCCACUAUGGAAGUUCCUCAAAAAACUAAAAAUAGAACCUGGAAAAAGCCUAAAUGUCCAUUGUCAGGUGAAUGGAUAAAUAAAAUGUGGUACAAACACAUAAUGGAAUAUUAUUUGGCCAUAAAAAGAAUCAAUGCCAUUUGCAGCAACAUGGAUGGAACUAGAGAUAUCAUACUAAGUGAAGUAAGUCAGAAAGAGAAAGACAAAUGCUUGUGGUUGCCAGUGGGUGGGGGGGAGCAGAAGGAUGGAGUGGGAAUUUGGGAUUAGCAGAUGCAAACUAUUAUAUAUAGAAUGGAUAAACAACAAGGCCCUACUCUAGAGCACAGGGAACUAUAUUCAAUAUCCUGCGAUAAACCAUAAUGGAAAAGAAAACGAAAAAUAAUGUGUGUAUAUACAUAAAACUGAAUCACUGUGCUGUACAGCAGAAAUUAACACAACACUAUAAAUCAGGUAUACUUCAGUGAAACACAUUAAAAAAAAACUAACCUUUUUCCAGAAUACAAAUAGUAUGGUGCAUAACACAGACAGUCAAAAACCUUUGGUGGAGAGAAUCACCUUCCAGCUCAUGGAUGAAGGAUGUCCUACUUUACAAUUCACGCUGUAGUCAGUUCCCUGAAUAGUCCUCACUUAGUAGAUCCUUUCCCGAGGACAGAGUCUUGCUUUCCCCUCCUUCCUUUUCUUCUUCUUCCUCCUUUCCUUUCAUAAAGCUUUGUGAAGGGCUUACUGUCUGACAGAGGUGAGGGAGAUGUGGAGUAUGGUAUUUAGUUCUGAGAAGCAACACUGAGAGAAAUGAUAAUAUAUUGAACAAUUCUUUAUCUUGUUAUCCUAUUUAAUAACUGGUACUUUGCUUUUAAAUUGAUUUAGGAUAUACUUACAUAGGUGUUUGCUAUGUUUUAGCCAUUUUUUAAAAUUAAUUUUUUAUUACUAUUAUAGUUAGUUGAUUUACAAUGUUUCUUCAAGUUCUGUUGUAUAGCAAAAUGACCCAAUCACACACAUUUUCCUAUGCGGUACAGUAGGGCCCCAUUGCCCAUCCAUUCCAAAUACAACAGUUUGCAUCCAAAAAACCUCCCAAACGUCCAUCUAUCCUACUCCCUCCACUUUCCCCUGGAGGGGGCUUUACAAUCAUUGUUUUAAGGACUUUACAAUCAUUAAUUCAUGUAAUCUUUAUACGAAGGAACUAUUAUCAUUCCUAUUUUAUAGAUGAGAAAACUGAAGCACAAAGCUGAUAACAGGUGGAGCCUGGAUUCAAACCCAAGGAGUCUGGCUCCAUGGUCUGUGCUUUUAGUGACUGUAUUAUGCUGCUAUGGAAGUAAGAGAGGCAAAAUCAUCAUAUGAUGUCCCUUUCAACAUAGAAGACAAUACAAAGCAAAAUGAAUGGAAAAAUGAACAAAAAGCACAAAAGAAAGAAGAGAUGCACAAAACCCAUCAUACUUCUCUUAUUAGAAGAUGUAUAAAACAUGAUAGAUCUUCAGGUGUACACAUACCUCCAUCAGUUAAAUGUCUUUUAAUGUUGAGAUGCUGCAACAGGGCCCUAUAGCCAAAUCAAUCUUUCCCAGAAAUUUUCCCCCUUACUGAAAUUUAAAAACCUUUUGUUUUCUGCCCUUUCUGGUAUCACUAGCAGCAGCCCUAAACCUCAGGCAGCUUCUCCCCAAAUUCUGCUCUAGGAUAGUUUCACUUCUCCACUGAUUACAUAAUAUUCUAAUGUAAUAUACCCCUUAUCUGUUUCUCCCAUGACAUGAUGGUAUUCCACAAUUUAUUUUGUCCAAUACCUUGUGCUUUCUUUUACCAAGCAGCCUAAAAUUGAAUCUUGAUCAAAUAUAUUAUAGGCACGGCCAUAGGUUAUAGCUAGCUAUGGAAAACAGCAACUGCUACUUUGUGAGAUUUUAGAAGUUCUCAAAGUACAAGUUAAAGCUAAAUUGACUUUUCUAUUUAAGGAGACUGACGCUCUUUCUCUGUUCAUAUUGCAAAGGAUAAUAUGUGUUUUGAAAAAUUUUUUAUGAAUUCUUUUAGGUAAGGUUUUCAAAACUAAAAAGUCUCUCCCAUCUGGGUAGAAAUCUUGAACAUCUUCAUAGACAGUCUUGCAAUUUUUAAAAAGCUUACUGUAUUAGGCAUAGAGAACAGACUUGUGUUGCCAGGGGGAGGGAGAAGGGAGUGGAGUGGACAGGGAGUUUGGAGUUGGUAGAUGCAAACUACUACAUUUAGAAUGGAGAAGCAAUGAGGUCCUACUGUACAACAUGGCAAACUAUAUACAAUCUCUUGGGAUAGAACAUGAUGCAAGAUAGGAUGAAGAAAAAAAUGUACACACACACACACACAUAUAUAGAUAUGACUGGGUGACUAUGCUGUAUAGCAGAUACUGAAACAAUACUGUAAAUCAACUAUACUUUACAAAUAAAUAAAUACAAUUUAAAAAAUAAAAUAAAAUAGAAAGCUUAACUCUAUUAAAUAUAAAAAGAGUACCUGGAGUUUCCCAAAUAAGUACUUUUCAGGGAGUAAUACUUAAUUGCACAAGGCUGCAGUUCAAAUAUUCCUGAAGAUGUAAGUAGGAAAACUUUCAAGCUUCAAACUAUUUCUUUAAUAAUAAAUAUAAAAGUGUUACUGGAUUAUUAAUGUGGAUGUCAAAGGUAAAGUUAUUGUUUGAUAUUUUAGCAAUUCCCCAGACCAAUCUGAAUUCUUUUUUUUUUAAAUUACCUAAAGAAAUAAACUUUUCUUUUGGAGCCAUGAUCCCAGAUUAGAACAGAUACGGAAGGCUGUCAGAUAAAGGAGGGAUAUCAAAUAGCACUUAUUGCAAAGUUUCAAUUCAGUGGUGCUCCAAAAUGAUGGAAUUCAUAUAAAGAACACAUGGGAAGUUUUUUGACUUUUGUUUUUCUUCCGAAUCCUUUUUUCUCCAUGGAGCUUACCUCUCUCUUUUAUGACAGGAAGGAUUCCAGAACUACUGCACACUGCACUUUAGGGAAGCUAUUUCCCCUUCCCCAUCUUUCCUUCUCUGUACCCCAGAGCAGCUGUCAGGGAAUGUCUGAGUAGUACAUGGUGCCCUUUUUCUCUGUGAAGGGAAAACCUUCCUGCUCCUUUUUAUUAGCAGGUAUAUCUGACAAAGUGGUGAUCAGAUAUUUCUUGUUUCUAAAUUGAGGGACCUCAACUACAUCCAUCUAUGACCUAAUGGAACCCCAGAAUUUGGAGAAAGUUGCCAGAAGGAAAGGAUGGGUGAAGAGCCUUGGUGGUCAAUACCAUUCUGAAAGCAUGAUGCAGUCCCUCAGGCUCAUUAUUUUAUUUAAUGGAAUGUCUGUCAUCAUUGAUGAACAAAACAUUUUACCAAAGCUAUGUCAUCCAAGGACUUCAGAUUCAAAAGAAAUGUCAUUUUGCAUUGGUUAGUAAAUUUAAUUUUCUUCUCCAUUCUGAUGAUACAAAUCUUUCUUCUCACGUUGAGACAAUAUUUGGCUUUCAUGAUUAAGCAACAUGGGAACUGCUAUGUAUUGUGAGCAGCUCACCACUCUCUUUAAAUAAACACAUUGCUGAGGUAGUCUCACUUUGACUAUUUCAAUACAUACUUAGUGCUUUAAGAGCACCUAAUUUAUAUCCAGCCUGACACAGUCAUGACUGUACAAAGAACAGUGACACCAGUGGACUCAAAUGGAGACCUAAACUCAAGGAUAAAGAAGAAUCUACCAAGUUCAAUUCCUGUGCCAAGGCCAAUAAAAAGGAUGCUGGUAUUGCCAACCACAGGGUGCACUGUGCUUGGCUUUGAGGUGAGCCAUCUUGAUUAAGCCCUCACAAAAAUCUCAUGAGAUAUAUGGUAUUUUCUCCUAGUUUAUAGAUAGAGAACAAAGUCCAGAAAUCAAGUAAUUAUCUCAGUCCCAUAGCUGCUAAAUAGUAGAACUAGAAUCCUUCUAACUACAAGUUUCAGGAUUUUUUUCUCUAGUAUAUCUGGGUCCAGUCAUCUACCAAUUUGACAAUGGCUAAGCGAUAUUGAUGCAUAAGGUCUUUGCUCACCAAGGACUCAUUUUCCUUCCAUCUUCUAUUAUAAUGAAAUCCUUAUAUACUGAGGUAACAGGUAGAGAUUCUUUAAUUAAGGAAGGCCGUACUCAUUCUACAAGUCUAAGGGUUGAAUCACAACUGAUUUAAACUAAUCAUCUUCUCAUUUCCCUUGACUAGACUGAUACGAGCGGCCACUGGUAAGGUGCCAGUGAAAUAUAAUGGAAAGAUGUCAGUAAUGACUUCUCUUUCAGAAUUAAAAGACAAAGAUGAGAAGGUCUUCUGUUUUUAUACUUUGCCUCCUGCUUUGAACAUGGACAUGAUUCUUGGUGGUGCAAUAAUCACCCUGCAACCAUGAGGCAACAAGGAUGGGGAAAACCAAUGUGCUAAGAAAUAGUCAAAGUAAAGAUGGAAAGGAUAUUUGCUCCUGAUGCCAAUGUUGAACAGUGAAUUCAAGAUCAACACCUGCCGUCCUCUAGACUAUUUCAUAUUUGAGACAAGUAAGCACUUAAUAUUCUAGGCCAUUAAUAGAGUAUUCUAUCAUUUGCAGCUGAACAUUUUCACUACAAAUAUAGUUAUAAAGUCAAUACCUUAGAAUAGAAUGUGCUGUUUGACUUACAAUGCAAAAAGCCUUAGUUUGUGUUGGCUACUUAGAUGAUGAUGAAAACACGUGAGUACAUUAAACCCUAAGGCAGAUCCAAAUGUGCCCUUUUUUCCCUUAUAGAUCAUUAAUAAAGAACCCUUUUCUACAUGGAGAUGUUUAAAAAUUUUGCCAUAUGAGUCUGUACUAUAGACUUUACUGAAUAUUUUAAAUUUCAAUGUAAAAAAUCUUCCUGUCACUAAGAUACUCAAAAUAUUUCCUUAAAUAGAAGUCUUCAUCUGCACAGAUUUAAUGAGUACUAACUCUAUGCUGAGUGUGGGGAUUCAGAAAUCAUAAGAAACUAAUUCUAAUAGUGGAUAUGGAAAAUGGAACCAAGCAUUCAUUAAAUUAAAGCACUAGGAGCAACUUCUGCCUGAAGGGGUUGGGAAACAUGUGAAAGAAGGGAAAUCUACCGGGAACUGUGGAAUCUGAGUUAAGGAGUUGUUUGGGGAUGAAGCAGGGCAAAAGCCAUUGAGAGACAGGGAAGCCAUCUGUUGUAAAGAGAGGGAGUCACAGAACAGUAUGGCAGCCAUGGGAGUAGAGAGAACUAGAAGAGGUAGGAUGAUGGGAGAUGAGAUCAGAGAGGAUAGCUGGACAGAUCAUCAACUUCUUUUGAUGCUCUGAUCAACUGCUUAGAGUUUAUCCUAAAGACAAUGCACAGCAAUAGAAGGUCUUUAAACAGUGGAGGGAGAGAGAGAUUUGGGGAGAGAAUUCAUUAUUUCAAUAUUUUU
rnacentral:lncRNA from 1 species